rnacentral:rRNA from 1 species
UACGUAGGGGGCAAGCGUUGUCCGGAUUUAUUGGGCGUAAAGAGCGCGUAGGCGGCCUGAUAGGUCAGCUGUGAAAACUCGAGGCUCAACCUCGAGACGUCGGUUGAAACCAUCUGGCUAGAGUCCGGAAGAGGAGAGUGGAAUUCCCGGUGUAGCGGUGAAAUGCGCAGAUAUCGGGAAGAACACCCGUGGCGAAGGCGGCUCUCUGGGACGGUACUGACGCUGAGACGCGAAAGCGUGGGGAGCGAACAGG